rnacentral:rRNA from 1 species
AUACGGAGGGUGCAAGCGUUAUCCGGAAUCACUGGGUUUAAAGGGUGCGUAGGCGGCCAUAUUAGUCAGUAGUGAAAGGUUGCAGCUUAACUGUAAGACUGCUAUUGAAGCUGUAUGGCUUGAAUUAGGAUGAGGUAGGCGGAAUGUGACAUGUAGCGGUGAAAUGCUUAGAUAUGUCAUAGAACACCGAUUGCGUAGGCAGCUUACUAGACCUAUAUUGACGCUGAGGCACGAAAGCGUGGGGAGCGAACAGGAUUAGAAACCCCGGUAGUCC